UACGUAGGGUGCAAGCGUUGUCUGGAAUUAUUGGGCGUAAAGAGCUCGUAGGCGGUUUGUCGCGUCUGCUGUGAAAACUCGGGGCUUAACCCCGGGCCUGCAGUGGGUACGGGCAAACUAGAGUGCGGUAGGGGAGACUGGAAUUCCUGGUGUAGCGGUGAAAUGCGCAGAUAUCGGGAGGAACACCGGUGGCGAAGGCGGCGACCUGGGUAGAUACUGACGCUGAGGCGCGAAAGCGUGGGGAGCAAACAGG
rnacentral:rRNA from 1 species